rnacentral:rRNA from 1 species
GACGAACGCUGGCGGCGUGCUUAACACAUGCAAGUCGAGCGAGAGACUCCGGUCUCUAGCGGCGGACGGGUGAGUAACACGUGGGUAACCUGCCUCAAAGAGGGGGAUAGCCUCCCGAAAGGGAGCUUAAUACCGCAUAAUAUCAUAUCUUCGCAUGAAGGAAUGAUUAAAGGAGUAAUCCGCUUUGAGAUGGACCCGCGGCGCAUUAGCUAGUUGGAGAGGUAACGGCUCACCAAGGCGACGAUGCGUAGCCGACCUGAGAGGGUGAUCGGCCACAUUGGAACUGAGACACGGUCCAUACUCCUACGGGAGGCAGCAGUGGGGAAUAUUGCACAAUGGGCGAAAGCCUGAUGCAGCGACGCCGCGUGAGUGAAGAAGUUCUUCGGAUUGUAAAGCUCUGUCUUUUGGGACGAAAAAUUACGGUACCAAAGGAGGAAGCCACGGCUAACUACGUGCCAGCAGCCGCCGCAG